AUAAACGUUGAAAAAAAAAAAUUUAAAAAAAAAAAAAAGCAGACACCAGACUCUCCCUGGACGCCCUGGGUCGCAGACCCGGGAGUAACACGAUUUAUUUCAGGAGACCCGGGCAUCGGGGUUUCUCCCACUGAGCGCAUCGCCCGCCGUCCCCGCCCGCUCCCAAGCGCUCUUCCGGGCCACUCCCCCGACGGAGCCCGCCCUCUGCUCUCUGACCCCUGGGGCAGGCCCGGUUCCCAGGGACAGGCCCCGCCCCCAAGAUGGCGGCGCCCAUGUGCCGCUGAGAACGGCAGCAGGCCCCACUACCCUUUCUCAUCCCGAGAAGCUGAAGGCAGCGGAGAGCGCGGCUUCGGGGGAUGGAGGGUGCGCGGCAGACGGCGCGGGAGACGGCGCCUCGGCCUCGGAGGCGGCGGGACCGGGGCCUCUGCGACCGUCCGCCGGCCCCUCGCCGCCCCCCGGCCUCUCGUGCGACUCGUCCGGAAAACGGUCGCCCGCUCCGGUCCCUACAUCAUACCCCAGACGAACCCCGUCGGUAUCACUGGCUGCGACUCGCGCCAUCUUGGCCAUUGGCCGUGGAGGCCCCGAAGCAGCUCCUGCGCGUGCGCCGCGCUCCGACCUCGGGCUGCGGGGCGCCGGGAGCGGAAGUGCUCCGCUGACCCGAGGGCGGCGCGAGGUCGCGCCGCUUGUUGUCCUCCGACCUGGCUGUCGGGUUCUGGUAGCCAAGUACCGGGAGGCGGAGCGGGCACGGGCCGGAGGGCAGGGUCAGGGCGCAUCAGUGAGACCACUGCUCACCUCCUGCGGGCUCCGGCUCAGCCGCCCCUGGGCUUCCUAGUCUACAGAAGAGCCAGUCGAGGCCUCAGAAGGAACAAGAGAGCUCAUAUCAGAGUCCUAGGAGGAGGAGCCUCAGCUCAGAGCCUAGGACAGAGGAAGGAGGCUCAUAGGACAGACCCAGACCCUACGGCAGAGGGAAGAAGCUCACAGGACAAGUGGGAAUAUUGCACUUCCAGGAUGUCCGUGUGGAGUGCGUGCCUGCCUAUGGCACAGGACUUGGGUUCUCAUUUCCUAACUCAGGCAAGUUGA
ensembl:lncRNA